AUCUAACUGACGAGUUCCAACUUAGACGAAACUCGGGUCCUGGAU
rnacentral:hammerhead_ribozyme from 1 species